GACGAACGCUGGCGGCGCGCUUAACGCAUGCAAGUCGAACGAUGAACCCGGAGCUUGCUCCGGCGGAUUAGUGGCGAACGGGUGAGUAACACGUGAGUAACCUGCCCUUGACUCUGGGAUAACUGCGGGAAACUGUAGCUAAUACCGGAUACGACCCUCGGCGGCAUCGCCAGGGGGUGGAAAGAAUUUCGGUCAAGGAUGGACUCGCGGCCUAUCAGCUAGUUGGUGAGGUAACGGCUCACCAAGGCGACGACGGGUAGCCGGCCUGAGAGGGUGACCGGCCACACUGGGACUGAGACACGGCCCAGACUCCUACGGGAGGCAGCAGUGGGGAAUAUUGCACAAUGGGCGCAAGCCUGAUGCAGCAACGCCGCGUGAGGGAUGACGGCCUUCGGGUUGUAAACCUCUUUUAGUAGGGAAGAAGCGAAAGUGACGGUACCUGCAGAAAAAGCACCGGCUAACUACGUGCCAGCCGCCGCGGUAA
rnacentral:rRNA from 1 species